CUCAGGUCGGGCAGGAAUUGUCAGUGGAGGGAGUGAAUAACACUCAAUACCACGACUGAGAUGAGACCCUUGAGCAAGGCACCGAACCCCCAACUGCUCCCCGGGUGCUGCAGCAAUAUGGCUGCCCACUGCUCCAGGGGUGUGUUCACUGCUGUGUGUGCGCACUUGGAUGGGUUAAAUGCAGAGCACAAAUUCCGAGUAUGGGUCACAAUACUUGGCCACAUGUAACUUCACUUCAUUUAAAUCAUCUUGAGGCCCCAUGAACGUUUGCCGGACCUCUGGUUGAGAGUCACUUCUUUAUUCUUUACUCUAGACAUGCACACCCCAUGCACAGUCCAUAUAUGCAAGACAUUAUGUACACAAUUUACAAUCCUGCAGUUUCUCCCAAGACACUCUUGACUCAGCUCUUAUCCUUUAUAUAAUUCAUAACCGGUUUAAAAAUACCCCGCUCUCAAGCGCAUGCAGGGGUGUUUUCUCGAAUAUGGGCUGGUGGAAGGAGUGUAUUCUGCUCGGGACCGAGCCAACCUGGUUUUCUCCUUGUUUAGCCGCCGCCUCCCCUCAUGACAUCAACACUGCGGAGAGCCGCCGCGCGCUCAGACUCUGCUGCAGAACGGCACGCCAGUGCGCAAAGGCUAUUGAGAUCAUAAUUGGUGUGUUUACUGUCAUUCUGAGCACAAUUGUGUAUAAGCUGCACUACCAUAUCCAGCGUGAAAUCAUCAUCCUCAUCAUCAACGGUGCUCAGCUUGUCAUAACUGGUGUUGUCCUGGUGCACACUGGGAGGAAACCAUCUAAAUGUCUGGUGCUGACAACAUUUGUUCUGCAGUUACUAACAGCAGCAUUUGAUAUUGUUGGAUUUGGGCUGAUGGCCAGACACAUCCCAUUCAGAGGAGACUCGUACUACUACAGGGACACAGAGUUCUUAGUGAAUGGGAUCUUGGUGACACUGAUCGGUUUCCUGAUGCUAGCAUGUGCCAUUGGUUUGGUUGUUUCUCUUUUUGGGGUCUACGCCCUUUCUGUUAGUGCCAUAAAGGAGCUGACUCCUAUCCCUCACUCUACACCAAACCAGCAUUAUGUUGAUGGCGUUCAGACCCAGAAAACGAUCCAUGCCGGAAACUGACAAAAUAAGAGGCAGAAGGGCACAGUUUUAGCACAGUUUUUCACCAACUGCAAAAGAGGACUGUUUCACCUACAAACCACUCACAGGUAACC
ensembl:lncRNA